rnacentral:rRNA from 1 species
UGAGGAAUAUUGCGCAAUGGAGGAAACUCUGACGCAGCCAUGCCGCGUGAAGGACGACUGCCCUAUGGGUUGUAAACUUCUUUUGUACGGGAAUAAACCCUUGCUCGUGAGCGAGGUUGAAGGUACCGUAAGAAUAAGCACCGGCUAACUCCGUGCCAGCAGCCGCGGUAAUACGGAGGGUGCAAGCGUUAUCCGGAUUUAUUGGGUUUAAAGGGUCCGUAGGCGGAUCGUUAAGUCAGUGGUGAAAGCC